CCUACGGGCGGCAGCAGUGGGGAAUAUUGGGCCAUGGGCGCAAGCCUGACCCAGCAACGCCGCGUGAAGGAAGAAGGCUCUCGGGUUGUAAACUUCUUUUAAGAGGGAAGAGCAGAAGACGGUACCUCUUGAAUAAGCCACGGCUAACUACGUGCCAGCAGCCGCGGUAAUACGUAGGUGGCAAGCGUUGUCCGGAUUUCCUGGGUGGAAAGGGCGUGCAGCCGGGAAGACAAGUCAGAUGGGAAAUCCCGCGGCUCAACCGCGGAACUGCAUUUGAAACUGUUUUUCUUGAGUGCCGGAGAGGUAGUCGGAAUUCCUGGUGUAGCGGUGAAAUGCGUAGAUAUAAGGAAGAACACCAGUGGCGAAGGCGGAUGACUGGACGGCAACUGACGGUGAGGCGCGAAAGCGUGGGGAGCAAACAGGAUUAGAUACCCCUGUAGUC
rnacentral:rRNA from 1 species